rnacentral:rRNA from 1 species
ACGGGAGGCAGCAGUGGGGAAUAUUGGGCAAUGGGCGAAAGCCUGACCCAGCAACGCCGCGUGAGGGAAGAAGGUUUUCGGAUUGUAAACCUCUGUCCUAAGGGAAGAAGGAAGUGACGGUACCUUAGGAGGAAGCCCCGGCUAACUACGUGCCAGCAGCCGCGGUAAUACGUAGGGGGCAAGCGUUAUCCGGAUUUACUGGGUGUAAAGGGAGCGUAGACGGCAAGGUAAGUCUGAAGUGAAAUGCCGGGGCUCAACCCCGGAACUGCUUUGGAAACUAUCUCGCUCGAGUACCGGAGGGGUAAGCGGAAUUCCUAGUGUAGCGGUGAAAUGCGUAGAUAUUAGGAGGAACACCAGUGGCGAAGGCGGCUUACUGGACGGUAACUGACGUUGAGGCUCGAAAGCGUGGGGAGCAAACAGGAUUAGAUACCCUGGUA